rnacentral:rRNA from 1 species
GAUGAACGCUGGCGGCGUGCCUAAUACAUGCAAGUCGAGCGAAUGGAUUGAGAGCUUGCUCUUAUGAAGUUAGCGGCGGACGGGUGAGUAACACGUGGGUAACUUGCCCAUAAGACUGGGAUAACUCCGGGAAACCGGGGCUAAUACCGGAUAACAUUUUGAACCGCAUGGUUCGAAAUUGAAGGGCGGCUUCGGCUGUCACUUAUGGAUGGACCCGGGUCGCAUUAGCUAGUUGGUGAGGUAACGGCUCACCAAGGCAACGAUGCGUAGCCGACCUGAGAGGGUGAUCGGCCACACUGGGACUGAGACACGGCCCAGACUCCUACGGGAGGCAGCAGUAGGGAAUCUUCCGCAAUGGACGAAAGUCUGACGGAGCAACGCCGCGUGAGUGAUGAAGGCUUUCGGGUCGUAAAACUCUGUUGUUAGGGAAGAACAAGUGCUAGUUGAAUAAGCUGGCACCUUGACGGUACCUAACCAGAAAGCCACGGCUAACUACGUGCCAGCCGCCGCCGUAA